AUUGAACGCUGGCGGCAUGCCCUACACAUGCAAGUCGAACGGCAGCACGGGAGCAAUCCUGGUGGCGAGUGGCGAACGGGUGAGUAAUAUAUCGGAACGUGCCCAGUCGUGGGGGAUAACGCAGCGAAAGCUGUGCUAAUACCGCAUACGAUCUAUGGAUGAAAGCGGGGGAUCGCAAGACCUCGCGCGAUUGGAGCGGCCGAUAUCAGAUUAGCUAGUUGGUGAGGUAAAGGCUCACCAAGGCGACGAUCUGUAGCUGGUCUGAGAGGACGACCAGCCACACUGGAACUGAGACACGGUCCAGACUCCUACGGGAGGCAGCAGUGGGGAAUUUUGGACAAUGGGCGAAAGCCUGAUCCAGCAAUGCCGCGUGCAGGAUGAAGGCCUUCGGGUUGUAAACUGCUUUUGUACGGAACGAAACGGUGAGCUCUAAUACAGUUUGCUAAUGACGGUACCGUAAGAAUAAGCACCGGCUAACUACAUGCCAGCCGCCGCCGUAAGAC
rnacentral:rRNA from 1 species